GGAAACGAUCCUAGCUUGCUAGGAGGCGUCAGCGGCGGACGUUGUGAGUAACGCAUAGGAAUCUGCCCGGUAGUGGGGGAUAACCUGGGGAAACCCAGGCUAAUACCGCAUACGUCCUACGGGAGAAGCAGGGGAUCUUCGGACCUUGCGCUAUCGGAUGAGCCUAUUCGGAUUACUGGUUGGUGAGGUAAUGGCUCACCAAGGCGACAUCCGUAGCUGGUCUGAGAGGA
rnacentral:rRNA from 1 species